UUUCAUAGUCCAACCUACAGGGUGGCGCUAGUGCACAAGCUGUCGAUUGUAAACCGUCAAUACAAACGAGCAAGAAGAAGUCGAAGACGCGUGAAUGGUUCGUGUCCGUUCGACGCUAGGACUGAACUGGUCGUCGGCUCCUCGCGUCGAGCAACAUGUCUCCGCUGAAGUUUUGCGCCAAUGUUUCGUGGUUGUUCACGGAGCUGCCUGACGUCAGCCAGAGACUGCGCGCCGCCGCCGCCGCGGGGUUUCAGGCUGUGGAGGCGGCCUGGCUCUACGACUGCGAGCUGCGGGAGCUGCAGCGGGCCAGGCAGGCUGCAGGAGUGGACGUGGUCCUCAUCAACACCCCGCCAGGUCGGCUGCUGCAUAGCUGUGCAACCAGCGCUGCGGCUUCAACGUCACUACGUAUGUGCUUUGCAGGAGACCUGGAGGCAGGAGACCUGGGCCUGGGAGCGGUUCCUGGAAGAGGCGCAGAGUUCAGGCAGGGUCUCGACCUGGCAGUAACGUAUGCCAAAGCCUUGGACUGCAAAAGCAGGAUCCACCUGAUGGCAGGGAGGCUUCCUGUGGGCUCAACCAGGUCUGCUGUUGCCAAAGAGAUGGAAGCCAUUUUUGUGCAGAACCUGAAGUAUGCUGCUGAUCUCCUAUCGAAAGAAGGCAUCACUGGUUUAAUCGAACCAAUUAACACGAGGAUCACGGAUCCCAGGUAUUUUCUGGACUCUCCUCAUCAGGGAGUUGUGUCUAAGCUGAGCUUGUGUUCUGCGUCUGUAGCGGCAGAAAUACUGGAGAAAGUUGGAAAGCCAAACCUCAAGCUGCAAAUGGAUGUCUUUCACUGGCAAAUAAUGGAUGGAAAUCUGACACAAAACAUACUCAAAUAUUUCCCCAUAAUUGGUCACAUUCAAGUUGCUCAGGUUCCAGGCAGGAACGAGCCAGACAGUGCUGGAGAGCUCAACUACAAGUACCUGUUCCAAACACUGGAAGAGCACAGCUACCAGGGCUACAUUGGCUGUGAGUACAAGCCACGAGGCUCCACCAAGGAUGGUCUGGGUUGGAUCAAAGACUACUGGACUUGAAUGAUGCUGUGAUGAAGAGGGCCAUCAGAGGAACACAAAGUUUGCUUUCUUCUAUUUUUUUAAUUGGCCAUUAGGGGCAGGCUAAAAGCAUAUCUAGUGCCUUCUCUGCUGUCAAAGGUUGCUUUGAUGCAUCCCCACUUCUGUUUGUCCUCUAUGAAACUAUUAAACAGGAAAGUGUCACAGAGUUUAACAUCUGCACACAUUACAGGCUUUACGGCAACUUCUACAGUUUGGGAUUGACCUUUUAGGAAGGACUAGGAAGAAAUCCACCUCUAUUUAACCAAUCGCCCUCUUCAUCCACUGUGCAGCAUUUAGUAUAAAUUCUAUUAUUGUUGUUGUUAGUUUUUGCUUAGAUUUUAGCUCCUUUAUUGGUCGGGGAGGUUUCCUUCUAAUGCACUGAUUUUUGUCAAACGGUUAGUUUGUCAGCAGUCUUUAGAAUUUAAAUAAUGCUCACUUGGUUAGUUAUAUGAACAGGGCAAUCUGUAAAUGCUGUACAGGUUCUGAAGGUUCUACAGGUUGUAAAGGUUUUAAAGACUAAAGAUUCUACACGUUGUAAAGCUAAAGUUUUUAAAAGGUGUAAAGGUUCUACAGGUUGUAAAUGUUCUUAAGGCUGUAAAGGUUCUGCAGGUUGUAAAGAUGAGAAUAAUAAGAAUAAGAAAACCUUUAAUAGUCCCACAGCACAAUAAAUGAAAUAAAUAGAAUUAAAUUAGGUUCCCACCUGUUUCCUUUAGUUUAACUAAGUGUUUCUCACACACUAUCCAAACAGUGAUUUAUUAGUGACACACUGUAACAUGAAGAAGAAUUUUUACAUCCAUGCUGCAGAGUAUGUGAUAUGUAGGAUUGUAUGAUUCCAGUGGUAGUUGGCUGUUUUUCAGAUCAGACAAGAGAAAAAAACACUGGGAAGUGAACCUGACAUGUCUGUAAAACCACCAAAUGAAUGCAUGAAGAAAUGAAUGCCUAAUGACCCAACUCUGUGUUGAAUUGAUCAGUGAGCUUCAGAAAUCUGUCUUUUUAAUAUGUAAAGCUGCCGACAAAGUUGUCAUUUCAUUUCAUCACUAAUCAGUAACACAGCCCAUGAUACUCAGAGGCAAUAGAGUAGAGAACUUCUGAUUAUAUUUAAAUUCACUUAGUUCUUCUACAGUUUAACUUAUAUAUAUUUCCUAUAAGGAGGAAAAUGCUGGAGCUGCCUUUCACACCGGUAUUCCUCCCUUCUCCCUGUGCUUAUGUUGAGCUUUACCGUCGAUGUUAAUUUAACUGGGCUGUAUCGCAGGGCCCUGUACUGUCACAUUUUCACACAGGCCAAUGGAGGCGAUCACAAUAUUUGUUGGCAAGGUGAAAUAGCUUUAUUUGCCAUAAACAGUGAUAAGAAGUUAAAAACUUAACAAAACACCUUUAUUAUUAAAAUUAAAAACAUUAAAAUCACCUGGAGAAUCAUGACCCCUGGUGAAGAACCAUGACCUCUGCUGGACGCACAACUUCCUGACACUGCUCACUUUGUUGCUAAUCAUGAUGUCGUUCACACAGUCAAGGCCUCCAGGGGCCCGUUUCAAGAAGGAGGUUUAACAAACUCUGAGUUUAAACUAAACUCUGAGUUGAUUUAGUCUGAGUUUGCAAACCUGGAGUUUUCGGUUUCAGAACAGCUGAAAAUAGUUGGUUUAAGCAACUCUGAGUUGACUGACUCAGAUUUAAGCGCGUGCACCGCGACGAUACAAAGCCCUGAUCAAUGGAGUGAAGAUAUUACGAGUCACCAUGGCAACAGGACAACAAAAGACGUCCGGAAAUGGAUAUGAUACGUCAAGCAUAUAACGACUACGAGUCUAUAAUCUGUAGAAUAAGCAACACGGCUGCAGCGGCGAAAGAGAAAGAAUUAGCUUGGAAGAAAAUAUCUUCCCGAGUCAAUGCCCAACAGAAAGAAGGCAGAGGCUAGAACAACUGGUGGAGGACCUGCACCUCCACCACUGACGCAUGCAGAGGAGAAGGCACUCAGCCUGAACACUGGAAAGCAGAGGCUGAAGGAAUUCCUGGAGGGAGUUCAUCAGAACCCGUCACUCCCCAGGAUACAAGUGCAUUUGUAAAAUAUUCUGAUGGUAAUAUGUGAAUCUUCCUGUCACAACAGAAGCCCAUGAUUUUAGUGUGAAAGAACAGCAGGAGGAGGGUCCGUCACAUUCUGCUGCACAGAUGCACACAGUUCAGUGAUGUUCAGUAAAUGCCAGAGUUCAAUUCUGUAAGAGUAAUGAGGAACUAUGUCUUGUAACUAUAAAUCUUCUGUAUUUUAAAUUACCGGUUACAGAGUUGUAUAAACCUAAUCUCAAGAAAAUCGUAUAUUUGUACCACAAGAUUGAAAAGACAGAUCUAGAAAUUGAAAUUCCCAAACACAAGCUAGAGAUGACAUAACUAUACAGUUAAAGGUGAAUUGUAUGAAUAUUGGAAGAAUCAUAAAAUCUAACAAUUGCCUUUGUAUUUGUAGGAAAUGAAGAAAACCAAAUAAAUUAUGAUUUGCAUUUA